AUUUAUAUUUCCCAUAAUCUCUUUUGAGAUUUUCAGUCUUUAAUAAUUAAAACUAACUCUAAAAAUGUAUUAAAAAAUACAGUAAUUAUAGAUAAUUUAAGAUGAAAAAUAUGUUGGUUAAGAUCGAUGAAUUUGUUUAGAAUUUGAACUAAUGGUUUUUGUUGAGCCUGCGACUUUUGACGCAGAAAGCUUGACAUAGGGAUAGUGAUCUGGCGGCAGCGUUAGCUUACUUCUUAAAAGCUUUAUAUUUAAGAAGGUUAAAGACCUGGAAGCUUCAUACUUUGUAUAUAGAUGCCUCAUGUCACGAGUUUCCAUCAAUCACCUGUCCAAUGUCCUUGACCUGACUUUCAUGGUUCAGUGACUACUUGAAAAAAAAAGUUAAGAUUUUUUGUGAUGUUAAACUCUCUCUUAUUAUAAGUAAUAGGAUAAUUAUAUUUGGUAUGUGCAUACCUUGCAAGGUCCUCAUGCCCUUUAGACAGUUUUCACUUGACCUUGACCUCAUUUCAUGAAUAAGUGAACAAGGCUAAUUUUUUGUGGUCAAUUCCAUAUCUCAGUUACUAUAAGCAAUAGG
rnacentral:lncRNA from 1 species